rnacentral:rRNA from 1 species
GAUGAACGCUGGCGGCGUGCCUAAUACAUGCAAGUCGAGCGAACGGACGAGAAGCUUGCUUCUCUGAUGUUAGCGGCGGACGGGUGAGUAACACGUGGAUAACCUACCUAUAAGACUGGGAUAACUUCGGGAAACCGGAGCUAAUACCGGAUGAUAUUUUGAACCGCAUGGUUCAAAAGUGAAAGACGGUCUUGCUGUCACUUAUAGAUGGAUCCGCGCUGCAUUAGCUAGUUGGUAAGGUAACGGCUUAUCAAGGCAACGAUGCAUAGCCGACCUGAAAGGGAGAUAGCCCACACGGGAACUGAGAGGCCGUCCGCAGCCCUAGGGGAGGACUAAGUGCAAGCUCUACGGCGCUCGUCGAAAGCAUGACGGAGCAACACAACGUGAAUUGCAGAGGCCUCCGGCUCGUAAUACAGUAUUAUUAGUGACGAACAUAUAUGCAAGUAACUGUGCAAAGCUUGACGGUACCUCCUAAGAAAGCCACGGCUAACUUCGUG